ACAGGUUUACGUUAAAAACAGUUCAUCCAUGAUGUGUGUUUCCUAUGUGAGUGAGUCCUACCUUACUUCUCUGCCUGCAAUUCAGGUUCUACAGGUGGAUCCCAACAAUGCAGAAAACCAGGGCCUGUUCCUUGGAAGUGGGAACUUCUAGAAGACUGACUAGAGGUAUCAGAAGAGUUUUAGCAGUCAAACAGAGAAGUUUUUGGUAGAACAGCUUUUGCUUGUGAAUCAUACAGAGAAUUGGAGACUUCCCUUCUACAUCUUUGAAUGAAGCUGUAGUUGAAUGAGAUGACAUUCUUGCAUGGUUCAGGAAAACAGGAAACCAUUUCUGACAGCCUUCAUAAACCCAAACUCUCCCUUAGUUCAGAUAAUAUUAUACAGUAGAAAAUUAGACUACAAAAUGUUUAUGCCCAGUGCAGAGUUGGUUCAAUGACUUCAAGGAAUGUCUUGUCUGCUGCUAGUUGUAGUCCAGGCAACAGCAGGUGUCAGACACAGGCACCAUAAGCACUGUCAGUGUGUCACUGCUUAUAAUCAAACAGCAGCAGUGGUGCAAAAUGAAUUGGAGAUAAACAGUACCUUGGGUGUCCUGUUCCAUGUGUUAUGCUAAAAACAACGUGGAUAAGCACACAAAAUAUAUAUGCUGCUUCUGCCACAUAACUGGGAAUGGAUAUUAUCCAUGGUCUUGCUAGACACUAUUUUGGAGUAUAAACUUGAAACUAUACAUCUCUUUCAACAUCAUUGAUGAUUAAAGAAAGCAGAUAGAUGAUUUUAUCAUCUUGAUAAUACAUAGAAGGUUCCCUCUGACAUGACUCCAUGCAUGACAAUUUAUACCACUGAGAUACCUUUUGGCAGUACUUGAGCGAGGAUUGCAGUAUUGUGGCAAGUGUGAAAGAAAGGGAAAUGCAGAAAAUAAGCAACUUUCAAAUCCAAUUGGCAUUAACUUGUUGGGUAUGUAGAGGUCUACAAGAGGGCUAUCUGAUGACCAUGAACAAUGCACGCAGCUCUGAGAAUGAACAUGCUUUUGCCAUUUCCAUAGAUGGUAAUACAGAGAUGUUACCAGGAACUUCCAGACCAUAACAGUGAUGACUGCUUUAUCAUUACACUUUUAAGAGCCUCUCUCUGUUCAUUACAAGGUAGAUCCAGACCCACAUUUGAUCAAACAUCAUGUCAUUUUGGAAGCCCCCGAAUGACUUCCAGACUGAUAAUUAUCUUUUCUUCUGUUUGUCAACUUUCCUAAGAACUGUCUACCUAAUUUUGAUGUCUCAUACAUGCACAUGAGAACUUGAGCAUUUUACAAAGAAUGUCGACACUGAAUACCCAUAUCAGUGAAACAAACUCAUGAACUUUUCAUUGUCAUGGAAACUGAUACCCAGGUAUCACCACUUCGGAUUCUUUAUGAAAAAAAAAACCUGAAUUCUAAAAUUUUGGUAAUUCAUACAUUGCUAUUCAUCUUAUGUUUCAGAUUGUAUUUAAUAACAACUAUUUUUUUGAUGAAACCUCUCUACAGAGGUACUUGUAACAUU